AACGAACGCUGGCGGCAUGCCUAACACAUGCAAGUCGAACGCUCUCUUCGGAGGGAGUGGCGGACGGGUGAGUAACGCGUGGGAACCUGCCCCGUGGUGCGGGACAACGUCUGGAAACGGACGCUAAUACCGCAUGCGCCCUGAGGGGGAAAGCUUUAGCGCCAUGGGAGGGGCCCGCGUCGGAUUAGGUAGUUGGUGGGGUAACGGCCCACCAAGCCUACGAUCCGUAGCUGGUCUGAGAGGAUGAUCAGCCACACUGGGACUGAGACACGGCCCAGACUCCUACGGGAGGCAGCAGUGGGGAAUAUUGGACAACGGGGGCAACCCUGAUCCAGCAAUGCCGCGUGAGUGAUGAAGGCCUUCGGGUUGUAAAGCUCUUUCGCACGCGACGAUGAUGACGGUAGCGUGAGAAGAAGCCCCGGCUAACUUCGUGCCAGCCGCCGCCGUAAAAC
rnacentral:rRNA from 1 species